UACGUAGGGGGCAAGCGUUGUCCGGAUUUAUUGGGCGUAAAGAGCGUGUAGGCGGCCUUACAGGUCAGCUGUGAAAACUCGAGGCUCAACCUCGAGAGGUCGGUUGAAACCGUAAGGCUAGAGUCCGGAAGAGGAGAGUGGAAUUCCCGGUGUGGCGGUGAAAUGCGCAGAUAUCGGGAAGAACACCCGUGGCGAAGGCGGCUCUCUGGGGACGGUACUGACGCUGAGACGCGAAAGCGUGGGGAGCGAACAGG
rnacentral:rRNA from 1 species